rnacentral:rRNA from 1 species
UACGAAGGGGGCUAGCGUUGUUCGGAAUUACUGGGCGUAAAGCGUGCGCAGGCGGUGAUGUAAGACAGUUGUGAAAUCCCCGGGCUCAACCUGGGAACUGCAUCUGUGACUGCAUUGCUGGAGUGCGGCAGAGGGGGAUGGAAUUCCGCGUGUAGCAGUGAAAUGCGUAGAUAUGCGGAGGAACACCGAUGGCGAAGGCAAUCCCCUGGGCCUGCACUGACGCUCAUGCACGAAAGCGUGGGGAGCAAACGGG